rnacentral:rRNA from 1 species
CACGUAGGGUGCGAGCGUUGUCCGGAAUUACUGGGCGUAAAGUGUGCGCAGGUGGCCGCGCAAGUCGAGUGUGAAAUCCCCGAGCUUAACUUGGGAAUUGCGCUCGAAACUACGUGGCUCGAGUGUGGCAGAGGAAGGUGGAAUUCCACGUGUAGCGGUGAAAUGCGUAGAGAUGUGGAGGAACACCGAUGGCGAAGGCAGCCUUCUGGGCCAACACUGACGCUCAUGCACGAAAGCGUGGGGAGCAAACAGG